GUUGCUGUAAUGCCUUAAAAAGUUGACGGUACACAUGCUUUUAAAUAAGGUCUCAUCUCUGAGUUAGAGUAAACUAUCAAGACUUAAAACUUACUUAUUUACCUUUCACUAUGGAACUUGUAACCGUCACUUCUGUCUUGAGUAGUUAAAAGAUAGAACGGUCUAGUCAAGCACCAUGUCUCUUAUUCUUGAUCAGCUAUAGCUCUGGAGUUUUUGCAGAUUUUGAAAUAAAACUUAGAGAUUCCUUGUAUGACUCUCUCAGAUCUCUCUUUUGUGGUAUUUCUGGAUCCUUACCAAGGCAGUGAUGGUACAUGCCUUUUCUCAAAGUAUGUGGUAUUUGUGGUAUAAGGCAUAGUGACAUUGCCUUGUCUCUCAUCCUACUCUAAUAAGGCUUUUGAUAUCUGGAGCUCAUAUGUGGGAGAUAGCGUAUACAUACUUACAAGACAUUUAUUGCAUAGUCAAACCAUGGAUUCAGAGAAACAAGUCAAUAAGUCAAAUCAAGAUGUGCAUGUGUGGCGAAUGAAUGGUGUAUGGUGAUGAUGAUGAUAACAAUGGUGAAAGUCUAAUUCUACUUGUGCUCUUUUGAGGGGAUGCAUACCUUUCUUGCUCUUUGAAACUUUUUGAGGAGAAUGAGAUGCUCUAUAUUUUCUUUUUCUUUUCUCUCAGGUGGGUAUUUUUACCUCUCGUCUCACUUUUUUCUUUUCUUUCGAGGUUGCGGGCACUUGCCCCUUUUUAUUUCCUCGUAUCUUUCUCUCUUUUUCUCUUUUUUUAAGCACUCAUCUCCUAAAAUAAUGUAGCAAGUGGUAGUAACCAAGAUAACUGGAGCAUUUAUUUCACAUGAAAAAACAGAAAUAUUUUUGGCUAUUCUCUCCCGGAUUAGGAGUAGAAUAUUUUUGGGUGGCUUUGGAGAUGAAAAUGGGUGGAUAUAUGUGGAUGCGUACUUCCGGAAUAGAAGCAGCAUGUGUGAGUGAACGUGCAAGUGAAUAUUGAUUUUACCACAUGACAAGCUCCUAAGGGUCUACACAGCUUGACCCCACUCAAUGCUCAUAAACAGUAAAAAGUAAAUGUGUGGCUCAAAAUCUAGCAAGCAUGUAUAUAUGGCUGUGGUAGGAAAUUAAACUCUCAUCAUAGAGAAACUCAUCAAGUGAUAUUUUAAAGAUUUUCAAAGAUAAAAUUCUCUAGAAUUCUAGCAUCUCUAGGAACAGAUAAACAGCAGCUCAACCUUACCAUAUCAUAUCCGUUAACAACUUAGACUUCAGAUCAACUUUCCACAAGUUCAGGUUUAGAGCAAGCUUUAAAUUAUAACAGUUAUGUCUAAACUUGAGAGAGAACUCAAAUUUGAAAAUUAGACAGAGCAACUAUUCAUCAUAUCCGUGCUAGAGUUUUAUUAUUAAGAUUUAGUUUAGCAUAGCCACUUUAUUUAUUUAUUUAUUAAACACACUAAGCAAAAGAUAUUUAUAUAAGCACAAAAUCUUUAUUUGGUUUUUCAUGGUUAUGUAUAUUUAUAUUUUAAUAUAGUAUAAGUAUGAAUGUAGAUAGAAAUACUUAGCGAGAUAAAUGGGGGUGCUCUCCCCCAAGCUGAAUUUUGACGUAAUUUCUUCUCAUGUAGCUAGCAGGUGGCUGAGGUGUAUUUGAAAGUCGGCAGCACCCUGACAGCGAUUAGAAUGUCCUCUAUCUGCUAGUCUUCUUGAUCCUUGAAUUCUGUGGAGCUCAGAUAGACAACAAUGCUUUGUGGAACUGAUUAGGUGUUAGCAUAAAUAUCUAGCCUUUAUCAUGUUGAGCCUCCUUAAUAAAUGUUUCAUUUUAUAGAGCAGAAAAUUUUUUAUUUAAUUUUAUUUUUAUGCCACCACAGUGAAUGCACUUAUGGUUUUAUGCCACUCGUAUACUCACAUGGGGCUUACUGUUUUAACAUUUUUAUUUUCUUUUUCGGAUAGUAUGAACAUGAUUAACUAAACAAACUAUUUUAAAUAAUUGAAAGGAGAAAGAUAACUACCAAGUUUACCUCUUGGCAAGGCGUUCGGUGUUUUUAAGUCCUCCGAACGGGACUCUCCGUUUUCUCAGUUGUCCUGGGAUUCGCUGGAUGGCGUAGUCGGUGGUUCCGGCAGCGCCUCCUCUUCGUGUAUAACUAUCUUCUCUUUCCACACCUGACUUGGUGCUACGAUCUCCUCAUGAUAGUUCUGUUCAAGCUGUAUGUCUUCAGACCUUACAACUUCUCCUUCAUAGUUUGCCCAUCCGUCCUAGAUGAUUUGCCUCCUUUGGUUGUGGUUGCGUUGUCUUCUUCUUGUCCUGACCUGCUUAGAGUCUUCAACUAUAUAAUUAGGGUCAGUAAAAUAACGACGUACCUUCUCUGAUGGGAAGUGCAUAUAGACUUCUCCGGUUCCAAUGUAGAUGAUUGCUUUAACGGUGCUGAGGAACGGUCUCCCAAGGAUGAUGGAUGGAUCGUACUCGUCUUCUCCCAUGUCAAUAACCUGAAAGUCUGUAUGGACAAAAUGAUCGUCUAUUUUGAUAGGGACAUCAGUUGCUAUACCUUCAACCUUUCAGAAUGUCUGAUCUGCCAUCUGGAGCUGAAUGUAUGUUGGUUUUAGGGGCAUGGUCCUGAACAAGAGCCGAUAGGUGACUGCGGCCAUUAUGUUGACGCCCGAUCCGGUGUCGCACAGUGUCUUGUAGAUGUUGUACCCAUUAAUGGAGCAAUAGAUGCUUGGCAUACCUAGGUCGUCCUUCUUGGUCAGAAACGGUGACUUGAGUCGACGAUCUUAACCUCCAUGAACUGCAGUGACCAUCUUAGCUGACUCGGUCCACACUUGCUUGUUCCUAUUCCUCCUGUUGGUCCUCUUCCUUGGUUCUUGUCGGGAUUGCACUGGAAUUUGUGUAGUUUUGUUCUUGAAGAAAAACGUCUCCUUCCUCCCCUUGAUGUAGAAACUGAUCUUGGCAGCACUAGCGUAGAUGACAGCUCCCGAGGUGUUCAGGAAUGGCCUCCCUAAGAUGACAGGUGCCUGUUGACGGUCCUUAAGUAUUAAAUUUUACCAUCAACUAAACAUGGAAAAGGAUCAAUAUGCACCAAACAUCUAGAAUUAGGGUUUUAUCUGACAGAAUUCCACGAGCUUUGGUGUUUAUCUAUUUCUGCAGGGGGUUAUCAGAAAAUAUGG
rnacentral:lncRNA from 1 species